rnacentral:lncRNA from 1 species
CGUGGUUCUCUAUGUUUCUGCUCCUCUUUCUGUUUUUCACACUGUAAGAAGAAAGACCUAUGAUAAUUGGGUGUGAAGGAAGUAGGGGGCAAACUAAAAGGAACUGCUACUGAACUGUUCCUAGAACACGAUGAAGAAACUGAUAAGAAGAGCAACUGAUUGGAGGGUCUGUACCUUUUUUUAUUUUCUUUUUAAUUUUUUAAAAAGUUAUGCAUAAUUGUUCUUUUACAAUUAUACCCUGAUUUAAUUAAAAUGGUGUGGUU